CAAUCUCAGUUCAGACUGCAGGCUGCAACUCGCCUGCACGAAGUCGGAAUUGCUAGUAAUCGUAGGUCAGCAUACUACGGUGAAUACGUUCCCGGGCCUUGUACACACCGCCCGUCACACCAUGGGAGUUUGUAACGCCCAAAGUUGGUGGCCUAACCUUUAUGGAGGGAGCCGCCUAAGGCGGGACAGAUGACUGGGGUGAAGUCGUAACAAGGUAAC
rnacentral:rRNA from 1 species